AUUGAACGCUGGCGGCAGGCCUAACACAUGCAAGUCGAACGAGUGGCGGACGGGUGAGUAAUGUCUGGGAAACUGCCUGAUGGAGGGGGAUAACUACUGGAAACGGUAGCUAAUACCGCAUACCAUCGGAUGUGCCCAGAUGGGAUUAGCUAGUAGGGGGGGUAAAGGCUCACCUGGGCGACGUUCCCUAGCUGGUCUGAGCGGAUGACCAGCCACACUGGAACUGAUCCACGGUCCAGACUCCUACGGGAGGCAGCAGUGGGGAAUAUUGCACAAGGGGCGCAAGCCUGAUGCAGCCAUGCCGCUUGUAUGAAGAAGGCCCUAGGGUUGUAAAGUACUUUCAGUCGGGAGGCGUUACCGACAGAGGAAGCACCGGCUAACUCCGUGCCAGCAGCCGCGGUAAUUC
rnacentral:rRNA from 1 species